GGUUUGAUUAUGGCUCAGAUUAACGCUGGCGGGAUGCUUUACACAUGCAAGUCGAACGGCACGGACUUCGGUCUGGUGGCGAGUGGCGAACGGGUGAGUAAUGUAUCGAACGUGCUCAGUAGCGGGGUAUAACCACGGAAAGCGCAGCUAAUACCGCAUACGCCCUUCGGGGGAAAGCGGGGACCUUCGGGCCUCUGCACUAUUAGAGCGGCCGAUAUCGGAUUAGCUAGAGGCGGGUAAACGGCUCACCAAGGCGACGAUCCGUAAGCUUGGUUUAAGAGGACGACCAGCCACACUGGGAUCAUACGGCCCAGACUCCUACGGGAGGUGCAGUGGGGAAUUUUGGACACGUCGGGGGGAAACCCGGAUCCAGCCAUCCCGCGUGUGCGAUGAAGGCCUUCGGGUUGUAAGCACUUUUGGCAGAAAGAAACGGCACGGAUAAUACCCUCGCAAUCGACGGUACUCUGGCAGAAUAAGCACCGGCUAACCACGCCAGCAGCCGCGGUAAUAUCGUAGGGUGCAAGCGUUAAUCGGGACCAUUGGGCGUAAAGCGUGCGCAGGCGGUUCGGAAAGAAAGAUGUGAAAUCCCAGAGCUUAACUUUGGAACUGCAUUUUUAACUACCGAGUCAGAGUGUGUCAGAGGGAGGUGGAAUUCCGCGUGUAGCAGUGAAAUGCGUAGAUAUGCGGGAGGAACACCGAUGUUGCUAAAGGCAGCCUUCUGGGAUAACAAUUGACGCUCAUGCACGAAAGCGUGGGGAGCAAACAGGAUUAGAUACCCUGGUAGUCCCACGCCCUAAAACGAUGUCAACUAGCUGUUGGGGCCUUCGGGCCUGGUAGCAGCGAUCAGCGCACAGUUGACCGCCCGUGAGCAUGGUCGCAAGAUUAAAACUCAAAGCGAAUUGAUUGUAUCCGCACAAGCGGUGAUGAUGUGGAUUAAUUCGAUGCAACGCGAAAAACCUUACCUACCCUCGACAUGUCUGGAAUCCCGAAGAGAUUUGGGAGUGCUCGCAAGAGAACCGGAACACAGGUGCUGGGUAUGGCUGUCGUCAGUCGUGUCGUGAGAUGUUGGGUUAAGUCCUGCAACGAGCGCAACCCUUGUCAUUAGUUGCUACGAAAGGGCACUCUAAUGAGACUGCCGGUGACAAACCGGAGGAAGGUGGGGAGGGAUGACGUCAAGUCCUCAUGGCCUCUUAUGGGUAGGGCUUCACACGUCAUACAAUGGUCGGGACAGAGUGGUCGCCAACCCGCGAGGGGGAGCCAAUCCCAGAAACCCGAUCGGUCCGGGAUCGCGGCCUGCAACUCGACUGCGUGAAGCUUUCCGGAAUUGCUAGUAAUCGCGGAUCAGCGCUGUCGCGUGAAUACGUUCCCGGUCUUGUACACACCGCCCGUCACACCAUGGGAGUGGGUUUUACCAGAAGUGUAGUUAGCCUAACCGUAAGGAGGGCGAUUACCACGGUAGGAUUCAUGACUGGGGUGAAGUCGUAACAAAGGUAG
rnacentral:rRNA from 1 species